rnacentral:lncRNA from 1 species
CCCCUUAAGCUGAUCAAACAAAUCUUCUAUUCUUGGAAGUGGAUAUUUGUUUUUGAUAGUGAGGCGAUUCAAUUCUCGAUAGUCAAUGCACAGCCUCAUUGUUCCAUCCUUCUUUUUCACAAAUAACACAGGUGCACCCCAUGGUGAUACACUUGGUCUAAUGAAACCCUUAUCAAGAAGCUCCUUCAACUGUACCUUCAGCUCUUGUAAUUCCAACGGAGCCAUACGAUAUGGAGCCUUUGAAAUGGGUGUUGCUCCUGGUACCAAAUCAAUGGUAAACUCUACUUGUCUAUCUGGUGGUACACCUAGAAGGUCUUCUGGAAAAACGUCUUUAUAGUGUCGAACUAUUGGAACAUCCUCAAUUGACAACUUAUCUUGUUUAAUAUCGGUCAUCGCCACUAGAAAUCUUUGAUCUAAUUCCUUUCUCGGCAUCCUUUCAACCUGGGUUGUUGACACUACACCAGACGAGGUAUUUACCUCAGUUCCCAUGAAACGGAACUCUUCCUCGCCCGGUCUUCGAAAAACCACCAUUCUCUCAGUACAAUAAAUAGUUGCAUAGUUUUUAGACAACCAGUCCAUGCCAAGGAUAACAUCAAAGUCUUUUAUCAUUAAUGGAAUUAGAUCUACCGCUAUACUUCUACCAUCAAUUUCCAUCCUAAGAUCUCUAGCAAUUUGAUUAGCGACAAGUAUCUUUCCAGAUGGAAGAGAUAUUUCUAAAGUAUACGGAAGGAAUUCACAUUCCACUUUAGACUUUGUAACAAAAGAAGAAGAAAUGAAUGAAUGUGUAGCUCCAGAAUCUAUAAGUACAAAUGCAGGAAUAUUGGAAACAGAGAUGAUACCUGCGACGACAUUAGGAUCUUGUUCAGCUUCUUGCCUGGAUAAGGAGAAAACUCUUGCUUUUCCUUUCUUAUCAUCUCCAGCCUUCUGUGUCUGAUUCUGGGGACAUUCUUUAACGAAAUGUCCUGAUUUCCCACAUUUAAAACAAACAUUUUUACCCAAUAAACAUUCUCCUUUGUGAGGUCUAUCGCACUUAGGACAACGCCUUUCACCACUAACUCCUGCUAUAUCCGUUCUUCCUUUCUUUGAUACAUUAUUCCCUUUUCCUUUACCGGUAUUCUGUCUCUUAAAAUUACACUUCCUCUUACCUGAAAAGUUUUGAACUUGGUAAGAAUUUCCAACGUUUUGAGUUCUUUGGUAAGAAAUAGUCUGGGCUCGCUUCAGGACUUCUCGAUAAGUGCCCAACUCAAGAACUGACACUAUGUCACGAAUAUAGGGUUGAAGUCCACGCUCAAAUCUUCUAGCCCGUUUUUCCUCAGUAUCCACUAAAUGUGGGGCAAACCUUGAUAAUUCCUCAAAUUUGCGCUCAUAUUCUACGAGGGUCAUGUUUCCCUGCUGAAGUCUAAGGAACUCCAUCUCCUUUUGAUCUCUCACAGCUGUCGGGAAAAAUUUUUCUUCUACAAGUUCCUUAAAUCUUUCCCAAGUUAUAGCUUAUUCUUCAGCAGGUGUUAGUGACCUAGUAG